rnacentral:rRNA from 1 species
UGGGGAAUUUUGGACAAUGGGGGCAACCCUGAUCCAGCAAUGCCGCGUGUGUGAGGAAGGCCUUCGGGUUGUAAAGCACUUUUGUCCGGAAAGAAAACGCCGUGGUUAAUACCCGUGGCGGAUGACGGUACCGGAAGAAUAAGCACCGGCUAACUACGUGCCAGCAGCCGCGGUAAUACGUAGGGUGCAAGCGUUAAUCGGAAUUACUGGGCGUAAAGCGUGCGCAGGCGGUCCGCUAAGACAGAUGUGAAAUCCCCGGGCUUAACCUGGGAACUGCAUUUGUGACUGGCGGGCUAGAGUAUGGCAGAGGGGGGUAGAAUUCCACGUGUAGCAGCGAAAUGCGUAGAGAUGUGGAGGAAUACCGAUGGCGAAGGCAGCCCCCUGGGCCAAUACUGACGCUCAUGCACGAAAGCGUGGGGGAGCAAACAGGAUUAGAUACCCUGGUAGUCCACGCCCUAAACGAUGUCAACUAGUUGUCGGGUCUUCAUUGACUUGGUAACGUAGCUAACGCGUGAAGUUGACCGCCUGGGGAGUACGGUCGCAAGAUUAAAACUCAAA